rnacentral:rRNA from 1 species
GACGAACGCUGGCGGCGUGCCUAAUACAUGCAAGUCGAACGCUGAAGGAGGAGCUUGCUUCUCCGGAUGAGUUGCGAACGGGUGAGUAACGCGUAGGCAACCUGCCUGGUAGCGGGGGAUAACUAUUGGAAACGAUAGCUAAUACCGCAUAACAGUAGAUAUCGCAUGAUAUCUGCUUGAAAGGUGCAAUUGCAUCACUACCAGAUGGACCUGCGUUGUAUUAGCUAGUUGGUGAGGUAACGGCUCACCAAGGCGACGAUACAUAGCCGACCUGAGAGGGUGAUCGGCCACACUGGGACUGAGACACGGCCCAGACUCCUACGGGAGGCAGCAGUAGGGAAUCUUCGGCAAUGGACGGAAGUCUGACCGAGCAACGCCGCGGGAGUGAAGAAGGUUUUCGGAUCGUAAAGCUCUGUUGUAAGAGAAGAACGAGUGUGAGAGUGGAAAGUUCACACUGUGACGGUAUCUUACCAGAAAGGGACGGCUAACUACGUG